GCACCAUCUCGAGCGGCCGAGAGAUCCGGCUUGUUGACGCCGCAGCAACCAGUCCGAAGGGGACGGGUGCUACCGCCGGAACCGAUGGAAG
rnacentral:ncRNA from 2 species